rnacentral:rRNA from 1 species
UACGUAGGGGGCAAGCGUUGUCCGGAUUCAUUGGGCGUAAAGAGCGUGUAGGCGGCCAGGUAGGUCGGUUGUGAAAACUGGAGGCUCAACCUUCAGAGGUCGACCGAAACCAUCUGGCUAGAGUCCGGGAGAGGAGAGUGGAAUUCCUGGUGUAGCGGUGAAAUGCGCAGAUAUCAGGAAGAACACCCGUGGCGAAAGCGGCUCUCUGGAACGGGACUGACGCUGAGACGCGAAAGCGUGGGGAGCGAACAGG